CACGUAGGGGGCAAGCGUUGUCCGGAUUUAUUGGGCGUAAAGAGCUCGUAGGCGGUUUCGUAAGUCGGAUGUGAAAACUCCAGGCUCAACUUGGAGACGCCAUUCGAUACUGCGAUGACUUGAGUCCGGUAGGGGAGUGUGGAAUUCCUGGUGUAGCGGUGAAAUGCGCAGAUAUCGGGAGGAACACCAGUGGCGAAGGCGGCCAUCUGGAUCAACACUGACGCUGAGGCACGAAAGCGUGGGGAGCAAACAGG
rnacentral:rRNA from 1 species